GAUGAACGCUGGCGGCGUGCCUAAUACAUGCAAGUCGAGCGAACGGACGAGAAGCUUGCUUCUCUGAUGUUAGCGGCGGACGGGUGAGUAACACGUGGAUAACCUACCUAUAAGACUGGGAUAACUUCGGGAAACCGGAGCUAAUUCCGGAUGAUAUUUUGAACCGCAUGGUUCAAAAGUGAAAGACGGUCUUGCUGUCACUUAUAGAUGGAUCCGCGCUGCAUUAGCUAGUUGGUAAGGUAACGGCUUACCAAGGCAACGAUGCAUAGCCGACCUGAGAGGGUGAUCGGCCACACUGGAACUGAGACACGGUCCAGACUCCUACGGGAGGCAGCAGUAGGGAAUCUUCCGCAAUGGGCGAAAGCCUGACGGAGCAACGCCGCGUGAGUGAUGAAGGUCUUCGGAUCGUAAAACUCUGUUAUUAGGGAAGAACAUAUGUGUAAGUAACUGUGCACAUCUUGACGGUACCUAAUCAGAAAGCCACGGCUAACUACGU
rnacentral:rRNA from 1 species